GGGGAUUUAGCUCAGUGAUAGAGCGCUUGCCUAGCAAGCACAAGGCCCUGGGUUCAGUCCCCA
rnacentral:tRNA from 1 species